rnacentral:lncRNA from 1 species
AGCAGGGAAAGGCCACCGCACGUUGGCGAGGCCUGGCGGGGCCCAGAAGUGACGUGAAGGCUCCUGACCUGAGAGUGCCCAGCGGGUUGUGCGUCCUUCUUUCUGCCCGUCUCCACCCCCGGUUUUCACUCAAGCUCUGCUGGUGCUUCACCUGACAACUUCCAGACUCACAGGUGGGGAGGAGCCCAGGUCAGCACUGCCGAUUACCCUCACCCCCAAACACUCCACCGCUGUGGAAGAAGCAUCAGGGCUGGCAUUGCCUUCCCUGCCUUGGGGUGCGUCUGUUCAAACUCUUCCAGCCCCUCAAGCAGAAACCCUGUGGAUUGGGGCCAAACUCCUCUUGCAGUGACUCAAGGCGGCCAGCCCUGCUGAAAGGAUGGGAUGGGAGGUGAAAGGCCCUUAGCCUAUUGCUUUGAAAUGGUUUAUAUUACCCUGGUGCCUGCAUAUUUUUCCCUCCACUUGACUUCUCCUACCCUUUGCUGGUUUUCCUGCCUGGCACCCCCAGCAGUGAAACACAAGGUUGGACCAAGGCCUCCAGGAGAGAGCCCUGCCAUCAGGAAAGCAGCACAAGACCAGGACCUACUGAUGGACCCUUUUCAGGACAACCCAACAGCCGUGGUGCUUUCCUAAGCUGCAGGAGACCUGG